AGAUUAGCCAUGCAUGUCUAAGUAUAAGCACUUGUACUGUGAAACUGCGAAUGGCUCAUUAAAUCAGUUAUCGUUUAUUUGAUUGUACCUUACUACAUGGAUACCUGUGGUAAUUCUAGAGCUAAUACAUGCGAAAAGUCCCAACUUCUGGAAGGGAUGUAUUUAUUAGAUUAAAAACCAAUGCAAGUCUUCGGGCUCGUUUUCUUGGUGAUUCAUGAUAACUUUUCGAAUCGCAUGGCCUAGAGCCGGCGAUACUUCAUUCAAAUUUCUGCCCUAUCAACUGUCGAUGGUAAGGUAGUGGCUUACCAUGGUUAUAACGGGUGACGGAGAAUUAGGGUUCGAUUCCGGAGAGGGAGUCUGAGAAACGGCUACCACAUCUAAGGAAGGCAGCAGGCUCGAAAAUUACCCAAUCCCGACUCGGGGAGGUAGUGACAAGAAAUAACGAUACGGGGUCUUAAUAGGUCUCGCAAUUGGAAUGAGUACAAUUUAAAUCCUUUAACGAGGAUCAAUUGGAGGGCAAGUCUGGUGCCAGCAGCCGCGGUAAUUCCAGCUCCAAUAGCGUAUAUUAAAGUUGUUGCAGUUAAAAAGCUCGUAGUUGGAUUUCGGAGUGGGCCAGUUGGUCCGCCGCAAGGUGUGUUACUGACUGGUUUGCUCUUCUUCGCAAAGACUGCGUGUGCUCUUGAGUGAGUGUGCGUAGAAUUUACGACGUUUACUUUGAAAAAAUUAGAGUGUUCAAAGCAGGCUAUUGCUUGAAUACAUGAGCAUGGAAUAAUGGAAUAGGACUUUGGUCCCAUUUUGUUGGUUUCUAGGGCCGAAGUAAUGAUUAAGAGGGACAAUUGGGGGCAUCCGUAUUUCGUUGUCAGAGGUGAAAUUCUUGGAUUUACGAAAGACGAACAACUGCGAAAGCACUUGCCAAGAGUGUUUUCAUUAAUCAAGAACGAAAGUUAGAGGAUCGAAGACGAUCAGAUACCGUCCUAGUUCUAACCAUAAACGAUGUCGACUAGGGAUCAGCGGGCGUUAUCGUACGACCCCGUUGGCACCUUACGG
rnacentral:rRNA from 1 species